UACGGGGGGGGGCAAGCGUUGUUCGGAAUUACUGGGCGUAAAGGGCUCGUAGGCGGCCAACUAAGUCAGACGUGAAAAUCCCUCGGCUUAACCGGGGAACUGCGUCUGAUACUGGAUGGCUUGAGGUUGGGAGAGGGAUGCGGAAUUCCAGGUGUAGCGGUGAAAUGCGUAGAUAUCUGGAGGAACACCGGUGGCGAAGGCGGCAUCCUGGACCCAAUCUGACGCUGG
rnacentral:rRNA from 1 species